CGAGCGGACCGACGGGAGCUUGCUCCCUUAGGUCAGCGGCGGACGGGUGAGUAACACGUGGGUAACCUGCCUGUAAGACUGGGAUAACUCCGGGAAACCGGGGCUAAUACCGGAUGCUUGAUUGAACCGCAUGGUUCAAUCAUAAAAGGUGGCUUUUAGCUACCACUUGCAGAUGGACCCGCGGCGCAUUAGCUAGUUGGUGAGGUAACGGCUCACCAAGGCGACGAUGCGUAGCCGACCUGAGAGGGUGAUCGGCCACACUGGGACUGAGACACGGCCCAGACUCCUACGGGAGGCAGCAGUAGGGAAUCUUCCGCAAUGGACGAAAGUCUGACGGAGCAACGCCGCGUGAGUGAUGAAGGUUUUCGGAUCGUAAAACUCUGUUGUUAGGGAAGAACAAGUACCGUUCGAAUAGGGCGGUACCUUGACGGUACCUAACCAGAAAGCCACGGCUAACUACGUGCCAGCAGCCGCGGUAAUACGUAGGUGGCAAGCGUUGUCCGGAAUUAUUGGGCGUAAAGCGCGCGCAGGCGGUUUCUUAAGUCUGAUGUGAAAGCCCCCGGCUCAACCGGGGAGGGUCAUUGGAAACUGGGGAACUUGAGUGCAGAAGAGGAGAGUGGAAUUCCACGUGUAGCGGUGAAAUGCGUAGAGAUGUGGAGGAACACCAGUGGCGAAGGCGACUCUCUGGUCUGUAACUGACGCUGAGGCGCGAAAGCGUGGGGAGCGAACAGGAUUAGAUACCCUGGUAGUCCACGCCGUAAACGAUGAGUGCUAAGUGUUAGAGGGGUUUCCGCCCUUUAGUGCUGCAGCAAACGCAUUAAGCACUCCGCCUGGGGGAGUACGGUCGCAAGACUGAAACUCAAAGGAAU
rnacentral:rRNA from 1 species